AGGGGUUUGCGCAGCGUUUACCGGUGUAAACACAGCGGCGUGGACACGAACCUAAAGCAAAGACUCGCUGCUCGUAGAAAAUGCUGUGGGACGGGAAAACCGGGCUUGCCUGCACUGACUGACAAGAGCUGGGUCUGAAAGAAAUGCUG